UUUUUGUAAACAUGUUGUGUAUCUUGUCUCUUAGAGUUGUGUUCUGAAAAGAGAGAAAAGAAAAUAGACAAGAUGAAAAAAAAAGAAAAAAAAAUACAGAAAAAUGAGGAAAAAUUAAAAAAAAAAUGUUGUGUGAAUAAUGGAGUCAAAAAGAGGAUUGAAUUAGAGGGUUUGGGUGCUAUUUGACUGUGUUUUCACUUGUUCCCCAUUGCUCCUCUAUUUCUUUUGGUUUAUAGCUUCUCAUCCAUAUUUAUCCUCCCUCGCC
rnacentral:lncRNA from 1 species